rnacentral:tRNA from 1 species
GCCCUUAUAGUUCAGCCAGGAUAGAAUACAGGUUUGCGGAAUCUGUGACCGAGGUUCAAAUCCUCGUGGGGGCA